GGGUGCAAUCAUACGAGCGUUAAUACACUGGAUCCCAUCAGAACUUUGCAAUUAUGCGUGCUUGGCCUAGAGUAGUAUUGGGAUGGGUGACCUCCCAGGAAUUCCUAGUGUUGCACCCU
rfam:Picea glauca, whole genome shotgun sequence.